CUUAAACAAAAAUAAUAAUAUCAUCAUAAUUGGCACAAUGCUUUUAUUUUGGAGACGCAAUUCUUGUUCUUGAACUUUUAUUUUGGAAUGGACUCUGCUGAUGGUACCUAGCUUCUCUGCCCCCACCAUCGCAACGACUGACUGCUUGUUUCGCUCAGUUUGGGCCACGCUAAGUGAUUAUGCUAAAUUGCUUGGAUGACUUAUGGGAAAGUACUGUACCGCACAGGAGUUUGUUAUUGGCACAUAGAGUAAAACGUGUAAAUAUAUUUUAACAGCCACGUUAGAACGACAAAUCUGCAAACCUCCUAGCUAAAUAUGGAUAUUACUUUGUUUGCUAGGUACAGUCAUUCUCAAUUUUGCCAACAACACCUAAGAAGAAAAUAGGAGUGCUAAGGAUUCCCUGCAAACAAAACCCAUCAUCCCCGGAGAGAGGCAGCCAUGAUGGUGGCCACUGACAGAAAGAGGCUUUCAAGGAGCUGGAGACAAAAGCCAGUGAACAGCACACACUGACCCCAGAGAGUCCAGAUAAUCCCAUCCCAUUCAAGGCUUUGAACUCUUGCAGGACUGGCAGGCAGAGGGGUUUGCACGCUGAUCUUUCGCAUCAACCAUCACUGCACUACAGACUGCAAAUAAUCGAUACGUAUCAUUUUGAAUGGUGUGACCAGGACCUUGUGACUACAGAGAGAGCGGGUGAAAAGGAACUCUGGAGCCUGAGAUGAAGCGGAUGUUCAGUGUGAUCUAUAUCCACCUUUAAAUGAACAGACACGCACCAACAGAGGCAAAGACCGACAACGAAAGAUGCACAGACACGCACACGAACAGACAAGCAGACGCACAAAUGCAGACGCAAGCAGGCACGCGGACAGACGCACACAGAGACAAGCAGUCCACCUCCCGCUCCUUUCAUGGGCACCUCUUACCUACACCUGGUUGUAGUGUCAUUGAUUGGACCACCUGACAUCAAUUACCCACUUUGGAAGUCAUCGUUAUCACAGAGAUACACAUACUUUUUCCAGGCUAAGCUGUUUAUGUUUGACCAAUGUGUUCAAUAAAACUACACAUUUCUGUGUGGUAUUUUUUAAAUAACAGUGAUAAUGUAUUAUUAUGACUUGGAUGUAAAUCAGGAUGCAUUUUAGUCAGUUAUGCAGGUAAUUCAGAAGAACUUACAACCUUUUAUCGCAAAUGUACCUGUUAGCCACAAUAUUCCAAGUUUGAAAGCAAAUGGUUUUGAUGGCAUGGGGCCCAUAUGGAUACACAUGAUACAGUACACCAUUUCUUGGGUGUGGUUUUGGCUCAGCAGCAAGUCAAAACCUAGUCAGAGCAUCUAGAUCUUCU
ensembl:lncRNA